rnacentral:rRNA from 1 species
AGCUGUAAACUGUGUGCACUUGCUGUUGACGCUAUUGACCCCGCCAGUGCCGGAGUUAACGCGUUAAGUGCACCGCCUGAGGAGUACGAUCGCAAGGUUAGAACUCAAAGAAAUUGACGGGGGCCCGCACAAGCGGAGGAGCAUCUGGCUUAAUUCGAUGCAACGCGAAGAACCUUACCUGGGUUUGACAUCGGAGAGGCUUGCCUCUAGCGCGUGAAAGCGCGUUAACCAGACAGGUGCUGCAUGGCUGUCGUCAGUUCGUGCCGUGAGGUGUUGGGUUAAGUCCCGCAACGAACGCAACCCUUGUGUUUAGUUGCCACCCCCGAGCAAUCGGGGCGCACUCUAGACAGACUGCCCGUACAAGCGGGAGCCCGCUGGGGAUGACGUCAAGUCCGUAUGGCCCUUACACCCAGGGCUGCACACGUGCUACAAUGGUCGGUACAGAGGGAUGCUACACCGCGAGGUUACGCAAAUCCCUAAAAGCCGGUCACAGUUCGGAUUGCAGUCUGUAACUCGACUGCAUGAAGUUGGAUUCGCUAGUAACGGCGUAUCAGCUACGACGCCCUGAAUACGUUCCAGGGCAUUGUACACACCGCCCGUCACAUCAUGAAAGCCGUCUGCACCCGAAGUCACUGAACCAACCAGCAAUGGAGGGAGG